rnacentral:rRNA from 1 species
UACGUAGGCAGCAAGCGUUGUUCGGAGUUACUGGGCGUAAAGAGUGCGUAGGCGGUGUCGAAAGUUUGGCGUGAAAUCUCCCGGCUUAACUGGGAGGGUGCGCCGAAAACUGCGAUGCUGGAGUGUGGGAAAGGCAAGCGGAAUUCCUGGUGUAGCGGUGAAAUGCGUAGAUAUCAGGAGGAACACCUGCGGUGUAGACGGCUUACUGGACGGUAACUGACGCUGAGGCACGAAAGCGUGGGUAGCAAACAGG